AUUGAACGCUAGCGGGAUGCCUUACACAUGCAAGUCGAACGGAGUGGGGAACGGGUGAGUAAUGUAUUGGACCGUGCCCCGUAGCGGGGGAUAACUACGCGAAAGCGUAGCUUAAACCGCAACCUAUUUGCGCGGGCGAUAUCGAAUUUGCUUGUUGUGGGGGUAAUGGCUCACCAAGGCGAGGAUCCGUAGCUGGUGUUAGAGGACGACCAGCCACACGGGGACUGAGACACGGCCCAGACUCCUACGAGAGGCAGCAGUGGGGAAUGUUGGACAAUGGGUGAAACCCUGAUUCAGCCAUCCCGCGUGGGUGAAGAAGGCCUUCGGGUUGUAAAGCACUUUUGGCAGGAAAGCGGUACCUGCAGAAGAAGCACCGGCUAACUACGUGCCAGCAGCCGCGGUAAUUC
rnacentral:rRNA from 1 species